GGCUUAGAGUUUGAUCAUGGCUCAGGAUGAACGCUGGCGGCGUGCUUAACACAUGCAAGUCGAACGGAGGACCCUUGACGGAGUUUUCGGACGACAGAUAGGAAUCCUUAGUGGCGGACGGGUGAGUAACGCGUGAGGAACCUGCCUUGGAGUGGGGAAUAACAGCCCGAAAGGGCUGCUAAUACCGCAUGAUGCAGUUGGGUUGCAUGACUCUGACUGCCAAAGAUUUAUCGCUCUGAGAUGGCCUCGCGUCUGAUUAGCUAGUUGGUGAGGUAACGGCCCACCAAGGCGACGAUCAGUAGCCGGACUGAGAGGUUGGCCGGCCACAUUGGGACUGAGACACGGCCCAGACUCCUACGGGAGGCAGCAGUGGGGAAUAUUGGGCAAUGGGCGCAAGCCUGACCCAGCAACGCCGCGUGAAGGAAGAAGGCUUUCGGGUUGUAAACUUCUUUUCUCAGGGACGAAACGAUGACGGUACCUGAGGAAUAAGCUCCGGCUAACUACGUGCCAGCAGCCGCGGUAAUACGUAGGGAGCGAGCGUUAUCCGGAUUUACUGGGUGUAAAGGGCGUGUAGGCGGGACCGCAAGUCAGAUGUGAAAACUAUGGGCUCAACCCAUAGCCUGCAUUUGAAACUGUGGUUCUUGAGUGCUGGAGAAGCAAUCG
rnacentral:rRNA from 1 species